AAGAUGAGUUUAGUAUAUGAGAAGAGAUGACUUGAGGAGCUAAGGGAAAUGGAGUUAGGAGAAGAUUGGGCAAGGCCGUACAGAAGCCGUACUAGGCCGUACAGAUUGGGCAAGGUAACUUGACAUCCGUGAACCAAAGUUACUUAGGUAACUUUGUGUGUUGAGAAGAAGCCUUGCUUAUCCUUAUCCGAUCAGACUGUUGCAAAAGGAAGAAGGGAGCGCACAUGACAGCCUGUCCGCGGUUGGCAUAAAGCAAAAGGAACCUUAUCCUUAAGGAGGAAGCUUAUUGGAUCAUUUGAAUUAAAGCAAAAGCUUAUCCCUUGUAAUAGUGUAGUUUCCUAAACCCUAGUCUCUAAUGUCGCCUCUCUAUAUAUUGUAAACUCAUGUCAUUAAUCAAAGUAAGAAAGUUAUGAGUCUCUCUUAGUCUCUUUGUCUCUCAAUGGUUCUAUACUAGACUCUUAAUCUCAUUUCAUACUCAAAUCUCUUCUAAAUCACUUCUAGUCUUUCUUAUUCACUCAGAUUACUCUACUCAAUCCUAAAAGUGAUAUGGUAUCAGAGCCAGGUUCCUAGAGAACUUGGUUUCGUUGGGUUCUUUGAAGAUUCAAGAUUGAAGCUUUGAAGAAACAGUUUGGUGUUCUUGUGUUCUUAAGCGGUUCUGGGUAGUCUUUCUGAGUUCUAUUGGUUGUUUGAAGCUGCUAGUGUUCGCUCAAGACAGUUACCUCAAGAGAAAGUUAUUGAAGUCU
rnacentral:lncRNA from 1 species